GGUUAAGCGACUAAGCGUACACGGUGGAUGCCCUGGCAGUCAGAGGCGAUGAAGGACGUGCUAAUCUGCGAUAAGCGUCGGUAAGGUGAUAUGAACCGUUAUAACCGGCGAUUUCCGAAUGGGGAAACCCAGUGUGAUUCGUCACACUAUCAUUAACUGAAUCCAUAGGUUAAUGAGGCGAACCGGGGGAACUGAAACAUCUAAGUACCCCGAGGAAAAGAAAUCAACCGAGAUUCCCCCAGUAGCGGCGAGCGAACGGGGAGCAGCCCAGAGCCUGAAUCAGUGUGUGUGUUAGUGGAAGCGUCUGGAAAGGCGCGCGAUACAGGGUGACAGCCCCGUACACAAAAAUGCACAUGCUGUGAGCUCGAUGAGUAGGGCGGGACACGUGGUAUCCUGUCUGAAUAUGGGGGGACCAUCCUCCAAGGCUAAAUACUCCUGACUGACCGAUAGUGAACCAGUACCGUGAGGGAAAGGCGAAAAGAACCCCGGCGAGGGGAGUGAAAAAGAACCUGAAACCGUGUACGUACAAGCAGUGGGAGCACGCUUAGGCGUGUGACUGCGUACCUUUUGUAUAAUGGGUCAGCGACUUAUAUUCUGUAGCAAGGUUAACCGAAUAGGGGAGCCGAAGGGAAACCGAGUCUUAACUGGGCGUUAAGUUGCAGGGUAUAGACCCGAAACCCGGUGAUCUAGCCAUGGGCAGGUUGAAGGUUGGGUAACACUAACUGGAGGACCGAACCGACUAAUGUUGAAAAAUUAGCGGAUGACUUGUGGCUGGGGGUGAAAGGCCAAUCAAACCGGGAGAUAGCUGGUUCUCCCCGAAAGCUAUUUAGGUAGCGCCUCGUGAAUUCAUCUCCGGGGGUAGAGCACUGUUUCGGCAAGGGGGUCAUCCCGACUUACCAACCCGAUGCAAACUGCGAAUACCGGAGAAUGUUAUCACGGGAGACACACGGCGGGUGCUAACGUCCGUCGUGAAGAGGGAAACAACCCAGACCGCCAGCUAAGGUCCCAAAGUCAUGGUUAAGUGGGAAACGAUGUGGGAAGGCCCAGACAGCCAGGAUGUUGGCUUAGAAGCAGCCAUCAUUUAAAGAAAGCGUAAUAGCUCACUGGUCGAGUCGGCCUGCGCGGAAGAUGUAACGGGGCUAAACCAUGCACCGAAGCUGCGGCAGCGACACUAUGUGUUGUUGGGUAGGGGAGCGUUCUGUAAGCCUGUGAAGGUGUACUGUGAGGUAUGCUGGAGGUAUCAGAAGUGCGAAUGCUGACAUAAGUAACGAUAAAGCGGGUGAAAAGCCCGCUCGCCGGAAGACCAAGGGUUCCUGUCCAACGUUAAUCGGGGCAGGGUGAGUCGACCCCUAAGGCGAGGCCGAAAGGCGUAGUCGAUGGGAAACAGGUUAAUAUUCCUGUACUUGGUGUUACUGCGAAGGGGGACGGAGAAGGCUAUGUUGGCCGGGCGACGGUUGUCCCGGUUUAAGCGUGUAGGCUGGUUUUCCAGGCAAAUCCGGAAAAUCAAGGCUGAGGCGUGAUGACGAGGCACUACGGUGCUGAAGCAACAAAUGCCCUGCUUCCAGGAAAAGCCUCUAAGCAUCAGGUAACAUCAAAUCGUACCCCAAACCGACACAGGUGGUCAGGUAGAGAAUACCAAGGCGCUUGAGAGAACUCGGGUGAAGGAACUAGGCAAAAUGGUGCCGUAACUUCGGGAGAAGGCACGCUGAUAUGUAGGUGAAGUCCCUCGCGGAUGGAGCUGAAAUCAGUCGAAGAUACCAGCUGGCUGCAACUGUUUAUUAAAAACACAGCACUGUGCAAACACGAAAGUGGACGUAUACGGUGUGACGCCUGCCCGGUGCCGGAAGGUUAAUUGAUGGGGUCAGCGCAAGCGAAGCUCUUGAUCGAAGCCCCGGUAAACGGCGGCCGUAACUAUAACGGUCCUAAGGUAGCGAAAUUCCUUGUCGGGUAAGUUCCGACCUGCACGAAUGGCGUAAUGAUGGCCAGGCUGUCUCCACCCGAGACUCAGUGAAAUUGAACUCGCUGUGAAGAUGCAGUGUACCCGCGGCAAGACGGAAAGACCCCGUGAACCUUUACUAUAGCUUGACACUGAACAUUGAGCCUUGAUGUGUAGGAUAGGUGGGAGGCUUUGAAGUGUGGACGCCAGUCUGCAUGGAGCCGACCUUGAAAUACCACCCUUUAAUGUUUGAUGUUCUAACGUGGACCCGUAAUCCGGGUUGCGGACAGUGUCUGGUGGGUAGUUUGACUGGGGCGGUCUCCUCCUAAAGAGUAACGGAGGAGCACGAAGGUUGGCUAAUCCUGGUCGGACAUCAGGAGGUUAGUGCAAUGGCAUAAGCCAGCUUGACUGCGAGCGUGACGGCGCGAGCAGGUGCGAAAGCAGGUCAUAGUGAUCCGGUGGUUCUGAAUGGAAGGGCCAUCGCUCAACGGAUAAAAGGUACUCCGGGGAUAACAGGCUGAUACCGCCCAAGAGUUCAUAUCGACGGCGGUGUUUGGCACCUCGAUGUCGGCUCAUCACAUCCUGGGGCUGAAGUAGGUCCCAAGGGUAUGGCUGUUCGCCAUUUAAAGUGGUACGCGAGCUGGGUUUAGAACGUCGUGAGACAGUUCGGUCCCUAUCUGCCGUGGGCGCUGGAGAACUGAGGGGGGCUGCUCCUAGUACGAGAGGACCGGAGUGGACGCAUCACUGGUGUUCGGGUUGUCAUGCCAAUGGCACUGCCCGGUAGCUAAAUGCGGAAGAGAUAAGUGCUGAAAGCAUCUAAGCACGAAACUUGCCCCGAGAUGAGUUCUCCCUGACUCCUUGAGAGUCCUGAAGGAACGUUGAAGACGACGACGUUGAUAGGCCGGGUGUGUAAGCGCAGCGAUGCGUUGAGCUAACCGGUACUAAUGAACCGUGAGGCUUAACCUU
rnacentral:rRNA from 1 species